rnacentral:rRNA from 1 species
AGUGAACGCUGGCGGUAGGCCUAACACAUGCAAGUCGAACGGCAGCACAGUAAGAGCUUGCUCUUACGGGUGGCGAGUGGCGGACGGGUGAGGAAUACAUCGGAAUCUACUUUUUCGUGGGGGAUAACGUAGGGAAACUUACGCUAAUACCGCAUACGACCAACGGGUGAAAGCAGGGGAUCUUCGGACCUUGCGCGAUUGAAUGAGCCGAUGUCGGAUUAGCUAGUUGGCGGGGUAAAGGCCCACCAAGGCGACGAUCCGUAGCUGGUCUGAGAGGAUGAUCAGCCACAUGGGAACUGAGACACGGUCCAGACUCCUACGGGAGGCAGCAGUGGGGAAUAUUGGACAAUGGGCGCAAGCCUGAUCCAGCCAUACCGCGUGGGUGAAGAAGGCCUUCGGGUUGUAAAGCCCUUUUGUUGGGAAAGAAAAGCAGCAGGUUAAUACCCCGCUGUUCUGACGGUACCCAAAGAAUAAGCACCGGCUAACUUCGUG